rnacentral:rRNA from 1 species
CUCCUACGGGAGGCAGCAGUAGGGAAUCUUCCGCAAUGGACGAAAGUCUGACGGAGCAACGCCGCGUGAGUGAUGAAGGUUUUCGGAUCGUAAAACUCUGUUAUUAGGGAAGAACAAAUGUGUAAGUAACUGUGCACAUCUUGACGGUACCUAAUCAGAAAGCCACGGCUAACUACGUGCCAGCAGCCGCGGUAAUA